AUUGAACGCUGGCGGCAUGCCUUACACAUGCAAGUCGAACGGCAGCACGGGAGCAAUCCUGGUGGCGAGUGGCGGACGGGUGAGUAAAGUAUCGGAACGUGCCCAGUCGUGGGGGAUAACGUAGCGAAAGUUACGCUAAUAUCGCAUACGAUCUAUGGAUGAAAGCGGGGGAUCGCAAGACCUCGCGCGAUUGGAGCGGCCGAUAUCAGAUUAGGUAGUUGGUGGGGUAAAGGCUCAUCAAGCCGACGAUCUGUAGCUGGUCUGAGAGGACGACCAGCCACACUGGGACUGAGACACGGCCCAGACUCCUACGGGAGGCAGCAGUGGGGAAUUUUGGACAAUGGGCGAAAGCCUGAUCCAGCCAUGCCGCGUGCAGGAUGAAGGCCUUCGGGUUGUAAACUGCUUUUGUACGGAACGAAAAGGUUUGGCCUAAUAAGCUGAGCUCAUGACGGUACCGUAAGAAUAAGCACCGGCUAACUACGUGCCAGCAGCCGCGGUAA
rnacentral:rRNA from 1 species